rnacentral:rRNA from 1 species
CACGGAGGAUGCGAGCGUUAUCCGGAUUUAUUGGGUUUAAAGGGUGCGCAGGCGGCGUGUCAAGUCAGCGGUAAAAUGUCGGGGCUCAACCCCGGCCGGCCGUUGAAACUGGCGUGCUCGAGUUGGAGAGAAGUAUGCGGAAUUCGUGGUGUAGCGGUGAAAUGCAUAGAUAUCACGAAGAACCCCGAUUGCGAAGGCAGCAUACCGGCUCCACACUGACGCUGAGGCACGAAAGCGUGGGUAUCGAACAGG